rnacentral:rRNA from 1 species
GAUGAACGCUGGCGGCGUGCCUAAUACAUGCAAGUCGAGCGAACAGAUGAGGAGCUUGCUCCUCUGACGUUAGCGGCGGACGGGUGAGUAACACGUGGAUAACCUACCUAUAAGACUGGGAUAACUUCGGGAAACCGGAGCUAAUACCGGAUAAUAUAUUGAACCGCAUGGUUCAAUAGUGAAAGACGGUUUUGCUGUCACUUAUAGAUGGAUCCGCGCCGCAUUAGCUAGUUGGUAAGGUAACGGCUUACCAAGGCGACGAUGCGUAGCCGACCUGAGAGGGUGAUCGGCCACACUGGAACUGAGACACGGUCCAGACUCCUACGGGAGGCAGCAGUAGGGAAUCUUCCGCAAUGGGCGAAAGCCUGACGGAGCAACGCCGCGUGAGUGAUGAAGGUCUUCGGAUCGUAAAACUCUGUUAUUAGGGAAGAACAAAUGUGUAAGUAACUAUGCACGUCUUGACGGUACCUAAUCAGAAAACCACGGCUAACUACGU